rnacentral:rRNA from 1 species
UACGUAGGAUGCAAGCGUUGUCCGGAUUUACUGGGCGUAAAGGGCGCGCAGGCGGCACAUUAAGUACACUCUGAAAUCUCCCUGCUCAACGGGGAGGGUGGAGUGUAGACUGGUGAGCUAGAGGUGGGUAGAGGGUGGUGGAAUUGCUGGUGUAGCGGUGAAAUGCGUAGAGAUGUGGAGGAAUACCGAUGGCGAAGGCAGCCCCCUGGGAUAACACUGACGCUCAUGCACGAAAGCGUGGGGAGCAAACAGG